CUGCCUGGGCUGGAGAAUUAACUCAGAACAAUCCAGCCAUCAAUAGUGCACAGGCUGAGCCACUAAUAACAAGUACACACAGGUUCCUCCCACGGCCUCAUCUAUGGAAUAUGCAUCCCUCCCAUCACAUCUCUUAUGGGGAAAGAUGCCACGGAAUCUAGAAGACACACAUACUGAAAUAAAUGGCAGGUGUGGACAGUUAACAAGGCUACUGGGAUGAGGAGAGCGCCACACCCAAGCUGUCCCCGAAUGGCCUUCAUUGUGUGAAUCACUUGCUUGGCUGCCUAUCUCAGUUCUGCCUGCUGCAAUGAAUGGAGUCCCUAGCUGAGAGGCAUGGGAACCAACUCCAUUUUGAGCGUAGCCAGAAGACAGAGCAAGAGGAGACUACUGAAGAGGAAAGACCAUUGAAAAGGAAAGAGUGGCUUCCACGACUACCCCCAUGCCUUCCCUUCUGACUCCUCUGACAGUGAGUACCGUUGGCACACCGACUCUACCACGUUCUUCACUGACUGAGAUGGCAUGGUUGCCCUUGGCCUGGCUUGUGAGUAGAAGGGUGUCCAGGGCCACCCGCCUUAGCCAGGAUUAAAAGAACCAGAGAUGGAAGCUACAAGGAA